CAGGAUGAAGGCCAGACUGAUGGUCUUGCCGAACACGCUGAGAGGAGGUGCAUGGCCGUCGUNCAGCUCGUGCCGUAAGGUGUUAGGUUAAGUCCUAAAACGAGCGAGACCCACGUUCUUAUUUGCUAUCAGGUCCUCCGGGGUCUGAGCACAAUAAGGAGACUGCCCGCUAUAAGUGGGAGGAAGGGGUGGGCAACGAUAGGUCCGCAUGCCCCGAAUCUUCCGGGCUACACGCGUCUUACAAUGACUGGUACAAUGAGUUGCGACCCCGAAAGGGGAAGCCAAUCUCGAAAACCAGCCUCGGUUCGGAUUGAGGGUUGAAACUCACCCUCAUGAAGCUGGAAUCCCUAGUAAUCGCUACUCAUUAUAUAGCGAUGAAUACGUCCCUGCUCCUUGCACACACUGUCCGUCACUCCAACCAAGCUAGGUCCAGGUGAGGAUAUGCCCCUAGGUAUGUUCAAAUCCGGGUUUAGUGAGGGGGGGGAAGUCGUAACAAGGUAACCUCAGUCAGUCAA
rnacentral:rRNA from 1 species